rnacentral:rRNA from 1 species
GUGGGGAAUAUUGGACAAUGGGCGAAAGCCUGAUCCAGCCAUGCCGCGUGUGUGAAGAAGGUCUUCGGAUUGUAAAGCACUUUAAGUUGGGAGGAAGGGCAGUAAGUUAAUACCUUGCUGUUUUGACGUUACCAACAGAAUAAGCACCGGCUAACUUCGUGCCAGCAGCCGCGGUAAUACGAAGGGUGCAAGCGUUAAUCGGAAUUACUGGGCGUAAAGCGCGCGUAGGUGGUCUAGCAAGUUGGAGGUGAAAUCCCCGGGCUCAACCUGGGAACUGACUUCAAAACUGCAGGACUAGAGUACGGUAGAGGGUAGUGGAAUUUCCUGUGUAGCGGUGAAAUGCGUAGAUAUAGGAAGGAACACCAGUGGCGAAGGCGACUACCUGGACUGAUACUGACACUGAGGUGCGAAAGCGUGGGGAGCAAACAGGAUUAGAUACCCUUGUAGUCC